AUUGAACGCUGGCGGCAUGCUUUACACAUGCAAGUCGAACGGCAGCGCGGGCUUCGGCCUGGCGGCGAGUGGCGAACGGGUGAGUAAUACAUCGGAACGUGCCCAGCAGUGGGGGAUAGCUCGGCGAAAGCCGGAUUAAUACCGCAUACGACCUGAGGGUGAAAGCGGGGGAUCUUCGGACCUCGCGCUAUUGGAGCGGCCGAUGGCAGAUUAGCUAGUUGGUGGGGUAAAGGCCUACCAAGGCGACGAUCUGUAGCUGGUCUGAGAGGACGACCAGCCACACUGGGACUGAGACACGGCCCAGACUCCUACGGGAGGCAGCAGUGGGGAAUUUUGGAUAAUGGGCGAAAGCCUGAUCCAGCAAUGCCGCGUGUGUGAUGAAGGCCUUCGGGUUGUAAAGCACUUUUGGCGGGAACGAAAAGGACUGUGCCAAUACCACGGUUCGAUGACGGUACCCGCAGAAUAAGCACCGGCUAACUACGCG
rnacentral:rRNA from 1 species